rnacentral:rRNA from 1 species
AGCGAACGCUGGCGGCAGGCUUAACACAUGCAAGUCGAACGCCCGGGCAACCGGGAGUGGCAGACGGGUGAGUAACGCGUGGGAACAUGCCCUUUGGUUCGGAAUAACUCAGGGAAACUUGAGCUAAUACCGGAUAAGCCCUUAUGGGGAAAGAUUUAUCGCCGAAGGAUUGGCCCGCGUCCGAUUAGCUAGUUGGUGAGGUGAUGGCUCACCAAGGCGACGAUCGGUAGCUGGUCUGAGAGGAUGAUCAGCCACACUGGGACUGAGACACGGCCCAGACUCCUACGGGAGGCAGCAGUGGGGAAUAUUGGACAAUGGGCGCAAGCCUGAUCCAGCCAUGCCGCGUGAGUGAUGAAGGCCUUAGGGUUGUAAAGCUCUUUCGGCGGGGACGAUAAUGACGGUAACCGCAGAAGAAGCCCCGGCUAACUUCGUGCCAGCCGCCGCGGUAAUAC